UAAAGGAGGGGCUCCUGCUGAUCAUACUACAAAAACAAAAGACCAAUUGGACCUUAGACUGUAUUUUCUAAAAGAAACAUAAAUCCUCUAAUGAAAAUGCUAAAAAUAUUUUUUGAAGUAAUUCAGGCAAAAAGAACAAAAGGACAGUGAUACCAGGAGGAAAGAUGCAAAGAGGAAUUGUGAGCAAAAUGAUUAAAUCUGAGUGUAAAUCUAAUAAAACACUGAGUAAAGUAAUACCAACAGAGAACAUCUUACGAAUUAAAAAAACUAGAGAAGCAGCCAAAGGGUCAGAAGAAUAAGUACGGCACAGAACGCUCAUGAAAUUUGGAUACAGUUUUCAACCAUAAGAGCAUGAGAGCCCUUCAGGUGGACAGAGGGCAACACACUCCAGGCUGAUGGAAGACAGAAGAUGAAGAUGUGAUUAAAACCCUAACCAAACUAUUUCUGCAUGAGCAAGCGGGGCACUGUCGAUACUCUCAGAAUCACAGCAGCCGCUCCUUAUAAACCGCUCUGAACUUGCUGAUAUGCUCUGUACUGUAUACACAGCUUAUAUGACACAAAACACAAACCAACUGCUGAGAGAGGUAAUUCAGUGAAUAAACGGCAAAAGUUGGCUUUGAAUUGGUGCAGACAUUGCUGUCUCUAUUCUUAACUACUUUGAUAUAAAACAAGGAUAAGUGAAGGGAAAUGAAGAAACUUUGAGGGUUUAU
rnacentral:lncRNA from 1 species